GGGGCUGUAGCUCAGUUGGUAGAGUACUUGUCUUGCAAGCACAAGGCCCUGGGUUCAAUCCCCAGCACACACA
rfam:Ictidomys tridecemlineatus contig117002, whole genome shotgun sequence.